GACCAACUUGAUCAGCAUUCAGUCCAAGGUCAUCAAUGGCUAGAGAGCUCCUGUUCCAAAAGCAAUACGAAGUAAACAUAAAUCCUAGGAAAACCCUUUUAAAUAUAACACUAAAUAAAAGCAAAUGUGUACAUUUGAAUAGAUGUGGCAAUGAAAGAAGUUUAAAUGAGUGUUGAAUAAUUUGGGGAGUUUUGAAAACAUAAGAGAUGGAGCCCUUUAGACGCACAGUUUACCUCCUACGACUUGGGAAAUUGCUAUUCUGCCAGGGGCUUGUUUCCCCUGCCUAGAAAACACAGGAGUGGGAAAAGGCUAAAAUGAAAACCACAUGCAUUCAAUCCUUUCCCUCUUCUUUGCCUCAAAUAAAGAAUUGUGAUGCCUGUCC